GUUGCCAUUUCCUUCUCCAGGGGAUCUUCCCGACCCAGGGGUCAAACUCAUGUCUCCUGCAUUGGCAGGCAGAUGCUUUACCACUGAGCCACCUGGGAAGCCCUGUGGUGGGGGAGACAUAAUAAAAAAUCAACCUAGGGAGCGAAUUGCAUGGUAUGUUAGAAGGUCCUUUGGGGUAAAAAUGAGAAGUAGAGCAGGAUGAAGGGGUUGAAGAAGGGACCAGGGAUGGUUUUAAAGGCAGUCUUUGGGGUGGGUCUUCUUUGGAUGACACUGUCUGAGCAGUCUUGAAGCAGGGAGGGGAUCAGUGCAGGAGCCUCCAGGUAGAAGGAACGGCCAGUGCAAAGACUGGAGUCAGAAUGCACCUGGAGAGUUCCAGUAGGGUAGGACGGCGGGGGGAAGACAGAGGGGCUGGGGCAGAGGCAGCAAAAAUGCGAGGGCUGUUGAAAGGACUUGCCUUUUUGCUAGCAGUGAUCAGGGAAUUGUUGCAGGGCGUUAAGCAGAGGCGGUAACUUGCUCCUUUACCUUUAAAAAAAUGUAUUUAUUUAUUUGGCUGCACCAGGUCUUAGUCUUGGCCCACGAGAUCUUUGAUCUUCAUUGGGGCAUGUGGGAUCUAAUUUCCUGACCAGGGAUCAAACCCAGGCCCGCUGCAUUGGGUGGGUGGAGUCUUAGCCACUGGACCAUCUGAACCCCUGGAGAAGCCUCUGUGCUUUCCCUAAUCUUCCUUUAUUCUUUAGGAGUCAUCCUUGGAAGGCCUCUACUCCUUUGCCGGGCUGCUUAACCUUCAGAUAAAAUAUUCCAGUCCUGAGCUCAUGGUCUCUGUAAUUUCUCUGUAGUUUUCUCCCAUGGGUGUGAUUAGAGCAAAACUUCUAGAAAGUGCUGCAAACCUCUGCAGAAACUGGCCCCCAUAGACUUCAAUUUGGCAUCACAGGGAACACAAUGCUAGAACAUUCUUUCAGACAGUGUUUCCCUAAUUGUCCAGAUAACAAGGGUCUCCUGGGCUCCUUGUGGAAGCACUGGGCUCUGAUGUGGCCUCAUGGAGCUGGCGAUUCGGGGCGUGGGCGGGGCGGCCAUCUGCAUCAUUAGACACACCUGGGGCAGGUAUCCCACCAGGCCCAGGGACCCUGGUCCUCAUAGCUGCCCAGGUUCUGAGCACACCAAGAAGAGAAACAAUGACUAGGGCAAAAAAGAGGUCAGAACUUCACUUAUUCCCUACCAGAGGGUGGACUGUGAGGCUGUCAAGUCAGGCAGCCCAGGAGUUCUGCUCGUUACAUUUGUGGAUGGAGGCUGAUUUGUCUCAGAACCUUGAGCUGACCCUUCCCUUGUGCCCGAGGCCCUGGAGCAGUAGCAGAGCCUGCAGAAGCUCACUUCCAGAGAGAGCCGGGGAAACCGCCCCCUGCCCCCCGCUGCCUGCAGGAACUCUCCCUCGUAUGUCAGUUUGAGAAGCUGCUUCCUUCCCCAGAAGCGGGAGAAGCUGCACAUUCAACUGCUCAGCUAAUUAAUUAGCCUUUGGACAAUGCUUUACAUGGAAGUCAAACGAUCUUGGAAGACACUAAACAUUUUAAAAUUCAAGAAAGGGAGGAAGGCCAAGGGCAGUUAUUCUCAGCUAGAACAGAGCAAUGAAAUAAGCCAUAUUGACUACAUUGACCAACACAAGGAAAAAUGAAAAAAAAUUUUUAUUUGGAGAGCCUGGGUAGAAUAAUAACACAUGGAAACAUACUCAUCUGACUUUAUGAUAAUAAUAAUAUUGCCUUAUAUUUUUAAUUAUAUAGCUCAUACCUUUCAAAAUGUUGUCAUACACAUUAGCUUAUUAGAUUUUCUACAAAAUUCUACUAGUUAGCUAGAUUAGAACAAAAAGACUUCAUUUUUAAUCCAGUAGUCUUUUAGUGAAUCUAUUAUCUGUCAUCAUGCACGAUAGAAUGUUUAUCAUUGGCUACUUGGACUUGUCUACAUGGAGAUAAACUUUUGGCUUGAAAAACAAAGAAAUAAAUAUUUUCUGAUUGUUGUUCAGUUACUCAGUCGUGUCUGACUCUUUUCG